rnacentral:rRNA from 1 species
GUUGGUUCUACCCGAAGACGAUGCGCCAACCCGCGAGGGGGGCAGUCGGCCACGGUAGGAUCAGUGACUGGGGUGAAGUCGUAACAAGGUAGCCGUAGGUGAACCUGCAGAAGGAUC